rnacentral:rRNA from 1 species
GACGAACGCUGGCGGCGUGCUUAACACAUGCAAGUCGAACGGAAAGGCCCUGCUUUUGUGGGGUGCUCGAGUUGCGAACGGGUGAGUAACACGUGAGUAACCUGCCCUUGACUUUGGGAUAACUUCAGGAAACUGGGGCUAAUACCGGAUAGGAGCUCCUGCUGCAUGGUGGGGGUUGGAAAGUUUCGGCGGUUGGGGAUGGACUCGCGGCUUAUCAGCUUGUUGGUGGGGUAGUGGCUUACCAAGGCUUUGACGGGUAGCCGGCCUGAGAGGGUGACCGGCCACAUUGGGACUGAGAUACGGCACAGACUCCUACGGGAGGCAGCAGUGGGGAAUAUUGCACAAUGGGCGGAAGCCUGAUGCAGCAAAGCCGCGUGCGGGAUGACGGCCUUCGGGUUGUAAACCGCUUUCGCCUGUGACGAAGCGUGAGUGACGGUAAUGGGUAAAGAAGCACCGGCUAACUACGUG